rnacentral:rRNA from 1 species
CCUACGCGGGCAGCAGUGAGGAAUAUUGGUCAAUGGCCGUAAGGCUGAACCAGCCAAGUCGCGUGAAGGAAGAAGGAUCUAUGGUUUGUAAACUUCUUUUAUAGGGGAAUAAAGGUAUCCACGUGUGGAUAUUUGCAUGUACCCUAUGAAUAAGCAUCGGCUAACUCCGUGCCAGCAGCCGCGGUAAUACGGAGGAUGCGAGCGUUAUCCGGAUUUAGUGGGUUUAAAGGGUGCGUAGGUUGUUUUUUAAGUCAGCGGUGAAAGUUUGUGGCUCAACCAUAAAAUUGCCGUUGAAACUGGAAGACUUGAGUGUGUUUGAGGUAGGCGGAAUGCGUGGUGUAGCGGUGAAAUGCUUAGAUAUCACGAAGAACUCCGAUUGCGAAGGCAGCUCACUGGACUGCAACUGACACUGAGGCUCGAAAGUGUGGGUAUCAAACAGGAUUAGAUACCCCUGUAGUC